rnacentral:rRNA from 1 species
AAUAUUGGACAAUGGGGGGAACCCUGAUCCAGCCAUGCCGCGUGUGUGAAGAAGGUCUUCGGAUUGUAAAGCACUUUAAGUUGGGAGGAAGAGUUGUAGGCUAAUACCUGGCAAUUUUGACGUUACCAACAAAUAAAGCACCGCCUACCUCCGUGCAAGCAGCCCCGGUAAUACGAAGGGUGCAAGCGUUAAUCGGAAUUACUGGGCGUAAAGCGCGCGUAGGUGGUUCGUUAAGUUGGAAGUGAAAGCCCCGGGCUUAACCUGGGAAUUGCUUUCAAAACUGACGAGCUAGAGUACGGUAGAGGGUAGUGGAAUUCCCUGUGUAGCGGUGAAAUGCGUAGAUAUAGGAAGGAACAUCAGUGGCGAAGGCGACUACCUGGACUGAUACUGACACUGAGGUGCGAAAGCGUGGGGAGCAAACAGG